UUAACUUACACCCACUACCGCCAGGGGAUUACGAGCAAUGCUUAAAACCCAAAGGAUUUGACGGUGUCCCACCCCACUAGAGGAGCCUGUUCUAUAAUCGAUGAUCCCCGCUUCACCUAACCAUCCCUCGCCUAUCAGUCUGUAUACCUCCGUCGAAAGCUUACCAUGUGAACGCCCGCAGUAGGCUUAAUGAUCUCACCACCAACACGUCAGGUCAAGGUGCAGCUUAAGGAAUGGAAAGUAAUGGGCUACAGUUUCUAACCUAGAACAAACGAAAGACUAUGUGAAACCCUAGUCAUGAAGGUGGAUUUAGUAGUAAAAAGAAAAUAGAGUGUUCUUUUUAACCCGGCUCUGGGACGCGUACACACCGCCCGUCACCCUCUUCAAUAGUACCCAUCUUGUUCCUAACCCAACACCACAUUUUAGAAGAGGCAAGUCGUAACAUGGUAAGUGUACUGGAAAGUGCACUUGGUAUACUA
rnacentral:rRNA from 1 species